GUUAAAUCUAUGAUCGGGAGAGUAGGCUAGAAAAUAUCUUGCACAGGGAAGAAGAGUCCUGGACUGAAAGCUCUUCUGUAAGGUUUUUGGCUGAAGAACACCCAGGAGUUACCACCGAAAGGAUUGUAUAGCCAAGUAGGCUGGUACGGCACGACACCGUUAUUGUCGACUUGAGAGGAACAUUUUAUGUUCAAUCAGGGUGGCACCACGGGAAUAUCUCCCGUCCCUGGC
rnacentral:ncRNA from 1 species